UACGAGUUACAAGAUUCCUAUCUAUGAGUCUUCUCAAGCUUGAUCUUGAGUCUUGGUUGGUUCUUCAUGCGGACCCUGAUCUGAAUCUUGAUGCUUGUUAGCUGCAGGUAUUUGUUCAAUCUUCUUCAGCUUUUCAAACCAAUCAUGCAGAGCUUGUGAUCUCAGUCUUGUCUUGAGCAGCUCACAUCUUUCAUUAGCUUCUGCAUUUGGAUUCACUUCUUGUCUUCCUUUUUGUUAUUCUUUUAUUUUUAUUCUAGAUUAUAACUAACUUCUGUUGAUCAUCUCGGACUGUUGACUCGCAUUCUUGACGCGAGCUUCUUUUGUUGCUGACCUGAAUUGCACUCUGAAUUGAAUUCUCCUUUUUUCCAGGUGGGCGCCUGAUUGCUGAACUUGAACCGUCUUCUCUUAUUACUUGACAUUGUUUUCCCUUGCACCUUGAACCAUUUUCCCUUGAAACUUGAACUAUCUUCCUUCGAAAUUGCUUUCCCUUGAAAUUUGAGUUGUAUUCCCUUUUUCUCCAGGUGGGCGCCUGAUUGUUGAACUUGAACUGCUUUUCCUUGAAACUUACACUACUUUUCCUCGAAACUUGAACUUCUUUCCUUUGAAACUUGAGUUGCUUCCUUUGAAAUUGCUUUCCCUUGAAACUUGAACUAUCUUCCCCUUAUUCUCCAGGUGGUCGUCUGAUUCUACAACAAAAUAGACAAAACAAAAGAAAUUUUUCUGCCCCAGUUUGCACUAGGAAGCUUCAUGAGUUGUUGGCAAAACUAUAUAUCACCUAUAUUGCUGAUGGAUGAUGUAGUGGUGAGAGUAAAAUUAAUGACUCGACUAGGAUGUGAAUCUCUUAAAAGUGAUUGAGCUUGCGGAAAACUAUAAACUAAGCUUGACUAAAGUAAAAAUUUACCUUAUCCUCCAGGCGGGACCCCUGAUUUCAAGAAAACUAAAAAUUAAUACUCUCUUUUUUAAAUCCAGACUUCCCUUCUUGUUUUUUUUUUUGUCAAAUUCAGACUUCC
rnacentral:lncRNA from 1 species